rfam:Echinostoma caproni strain Egypt genome assembly, scaffold: ECPE_scaffold0003976
GCACUGCUGACGAGUCCCAAACAGGACGAAACAGGUCUGCAGUGC